UACAGAGGGGGCAAGCGUUGUUCGGAAUUACUGGGCGUAAAGGGCGCGUAGGCGGCCUGUUAAGUCGAACGUGAAAUCCCCGGGCUCAACCCGGGAACUGCGUCCGAUACUGGCAGGCUUGAAUCCGGGAGAGGGAUGCGGAAUUCCAGGUGUAGCGGUGAAAUGCGUAGAUAUCGGGAGGAACACCCGUAGCGAAGGCGGCCGACUGGACCACACCUGACGCUGAGGCGCGAAGGCCAGGGGAGCGAACGGG
rnacentral:rRNA from 1 species